GUAAAUUCAGUUCAACGCUUUUAUCACUAGCCAACUAGCUUAGCAACCGCGGAUUAUGUUUAAGUUUGACUUCACCAAUACAUAAGGCAAGAACGCUAGCGCUAAGGCAUUUCAACCGGCACAGAGGUGGGCCUGCCUGAGGAGGUCCUUGAGAACGACAGUGCCGAGGUGUCUGAAUCAACUGAGGUCAUACUGACGUUGAUGGAUUCAGAGUGUGACAGCAGGACUCUGCCAACAGCAAGAAUUAUCCCAUCCCCUGGUAAAAAGAAGAAACACAUAAGCCUACAAGAGGAGUUUCUGGAGUUGGAGAAGGAGAAGCUGUUGGUGAUGCGAGAGAAAUUAAAUGUUGAGAAGGAGAGACUGAAAUUGGAUAAAGA
ensembl:lncRNA